AAGUCGUAACAAGGUUUCCGUAGGUGAACCUGCGGAAGGAUCAUUAUCCUUUAGCGUAGUAUUCUAACGACUACUACAAGCGUAUGCACACUUGUGUUACGUAAAAAUGCACAGCGAAGAUGCCAAGCCAUUUUCGUUUAUCAAAUCCAUGCUCGCUUGAGUAUGGUCGGGUACCUAAGUGUACGUUCGCGUAUACUAAAGCGGUAGAUGCUUGUCUAUCGUGUGGUGUAAAGAUUAUUCAAGCUUAGAAUAACGCCCGCUUAGCUAAAUUUUCGAUACAAAUAUUAAUCGCAAUACUAUGUUGUAUGUGUAAAGCACUAUCUUAUUACUUAUAGGAUAAUAACACAAAUACAACCCUAUGCGGUGGAUCAUUUGGCUC
rnacentral:misc_RNA from 1 species